GGGCAAUUAGCUCAAUGGUAGAGCGCUUGCAUCACAAGCAAGAGGUCGCAGGUUCAAAUCCUGCAUUGCCCA
rnacentral:tRNA from 1 species